rnacentral:rRNA from 1 species
GAUGAACGCUGGCGGCGUGCCUAAUACAUGCGAGUCGAGCGAACGGACGAGAAGCUUGCUUCUCUGAUGUUAGCGGCGGACGGGUGAGUAACACGUGGAUAACCUACCUAUAAGACUGGGAUAACUUCGGGAAACCGGAGCUAAUACCGGAUGAUAUUUUGAACCGCAUGGAUCAAAAGUGAAAGACGGUCUUGCUGUCACUUAUAGAUGGAUCCGCGCUGCAUUAGCUAGUUGGUAAGGUAACGGCUUACCAAGGCAACGAUGCAUAGCCGACCUGAGAGGGUGAUCGGCCACACUGGAACUGAGACACGGUCCAGACUCCUACGGGAGGCAGCAGUAGGGAAUCUUCCGCAAUGGGCGAAAGCCUGACGGAGCAACGCCGCGUGAGUGAUGAAGGUCUUCGGAUCGUAAAACUCUGUUAUUAGGGAAGAACAUAUGUGUAAGUAACUGUGCACAUCUUGACGGUACCUAAUCAGAAAGCCACGGCUAACUACGUG